UACGUAGGGUGCGAGCGUUGUCCGGAAUUAUUGGGCGUAAAGGGCUCGUAGGCGGCCUGUUGCGUCUGCCGUGAAAGCCCGGGGCUUAACUCCGGGUCUGCGGUGGAUACGGGCAGGCUAGAGUUCGGUAGGGGAGACUGGAAUUCCUGGUGUAGCGGUGGAAUGCGCAGAGAUCAGGAGGAAUACCGAAGGCGAAGGCAGUCUUCCAAGCCGUUAUUGACGCUCAACUGCGAAGGUGUGGGUAUCAAACAGGAUUAGAUACCCGCGUAGUCCCUGAG
rnacentral:rRNA from 1 species